rnacentral:rRNA from 1 species
AUUGAACGCUGGCGGCAUGCCUUACACAUGCAAGUCGAACGGUAGCGGGCCUUCGGGUGCCGACGAGUGGCGAACGGGUGAGUAAUGCAUCGGAACGUGCCAUUGAGUGGGGGAUAACGUAGCGAAAGUUACGCUAAUACCGCAUAUUCUGUGAGCAGGAAAGCAGGGGACCGCAAGGCCUUGCGCUCUUUGAGCGGCCGAUGUCAGAUUAGCUAGUUGGUGGGGUAAAGGCCUACCAAGGCGACGAUCCGUAGCGGGUCUGAGAGGAUGAUCCGCCACACUGGGACUGAGACACGGCCCAGACUCCUACGGGAGGCAGCAGUGGGGAAUAUUGCGCAAUGGGCGAAAGCCUGACGCAGCGACGCCGCGUGAGGGACGAAGGGUCUUCGGAUUGUAAACCUCUUUCAGCAGGGACGAAGCGAAAGUGACUGUACCUGCAGAAGAAGCACCGGCUAACUACGUGCCAGCAGCCGCGGUAAU